UACGUAGGUGGCAAGCGUUGUCCGGAAUUAUUGGGCGUAAAGCGCGCGCAGGCGGUCCUUUAAGUCUGAUGUGAAAGCCCACGGCUCAACCGUGGAGGGUCAUUGGAAACUGGGGGGACUUGAGUACAGAAGAGAGGAGUGGAAUUCCACGUGUAGCGGUGAAAUGCGUAGAGAUGUGGAGGAACACCAGUGGCGAAGGCGACUCUUUGGUCUGUAACUGACGCUGAGGCGCGAAAGCGUGGGGAGCAAACAGG
rnacentral:rRNA from 1 species